rnacentral:rRNA from 1 species
UACGUAGGGUGCGAGCGUUGUCCGGAAUUACUGGGCGUAAAGAGCUCGUAGGUGGUUUGUCGCGUUGUUCGUGAAAACUCACAACUCAAUUGUGGGCGUGCGGGCGAUACGGGCAGACUGGAGUACUGCAGGGGAGACUGGAAUUCCUGGUGUAGCGGUGGAAUGCGCAGAUAUCAGGAGGAACACCGGUGGCGAAGGCGGCGACCUGGGUCGAUACUGACGCUGAUGCGCGAAAGCGUGGGGAGCAAACAGG